rnacentral:lncRNA from 1 species
UGAAUUUCUUUUUUUUUCUUUUUUUUUUUUUUGUAUCUGUGUAAACAUGCAUACAUCUUCACCGCUAUCUGUAUAAACAUGGAAAUAUCUACACAGCUAUCUGUAUGAACACGGAAAUAUCUACACCGCUAUCUGUUUGAACAUGGAAAUAUCUACACCGCUAUCUGCAUGAAAAUGGAAAUAUCUACACAGCUAUCUGCAUAUACAUGGAAAUAUCUACAAAGCUAUCUCUUUACACAUGGAAAUAUCUACACCGCUAUCUGCAUGAAAAUGGAAAUAUCUACACAGCUAUCUGNNNNNNNNNNCAGAUAGCUGUGUAGAUAUUUCCAUUUUCAUGCAGAUAGCGGUGUAGAUAUUUCCAUGUGUAAAGAGAUAGCUUUGUAGAUAUUUCCAUGUAUAUGCAGAUAGCUGUGUAGAUAUUUCCAUUUUCAUGCAGAUAGCGGUGUAGAUAUUUCCAUGUUCAAACAGAUAGCGGUGUAGAUAUUUCCGUGUUCAUACAGAUAGCUGUGUAGAUAUUUCCAUGUUUAUACAGAUAGCGGUGAAGAUGUAUGCAUGUUUACACAGAUAGAGGUGUAGAUAUUUCCAUGUUCAUACAGAUAGCGUUGUAGCUAUUUCUGCCUCCUAGGUUCAAGU